UACGGGGGGGGCAAGCGGUGUUCGGAAUUACUGGGCGUAAAGGGCUCGUAGGUGGCCAACUAAGUCAGACGUGAAAUCCCCAGGCUCAACUUGGGAACUGCGUCUGAUACUGGAUGGCUUGAAUUCGGGAGAGGGAUGCAGAAUUCCAGGUGUAGCGGUGAAAUGCGUAGAUAUCAGGAGGAACACCGAUGGCGAAGGCAGGUCUCUGGGCCGAUACUGACGCUGAGGAGCGAAAGCGUGGGGAGCGAACAGG
rnacentral:rRNA from 1 species